rnacentral:rRNA from 1 species
GACGAACGCUGGCGGCAGGCCUAACACAUGCAAGUCGAACGUGAAGCUGGAGCUUGCUCCAGUGGAAAGUGGCAGACGGGUGAGUAACGCGUGGGAAUUUACCCAGUGGUACGGAAUAACUCAGGGAAACUUGUGCUAAUACCGUAUAAGCCCUUCGGGGGAAAGAUUUAUCGCCAUUGGAUGAGCCCGCGUUAGAUUAGUUUGUUGGUGGGUAAUGGCCUACCAAGACUACGAUCUAUAGCUGGUCUGAGAGGAUGAUCAGCCACACUGGGACUGAGACACGGCCCAGACUCCUACGGGAGGCAGCAGUGGGGAAUAUUGCACAAUGGGCGCAAGCCUGAUGCAGCCAUGCCGCGUGAGUGAAGAAGGCCUUAGGGUUGUAAAACUCUUUCACCGGUGAAGAUAAUGACGGUAGCCGGUAAAGAAGCCCCGGCUAACUCCGUG